rnacentral:lncRNA from 1 species
GAUUCUGACAAUGGAGAUAUUAAUUAUGAUUAUGUUCAUGAAUUGUCAUUGGAAAUGAAGCGUCAGAAGAUACAGAGGGAAUUAAUGAAGCUGGAACAAGAAAACAUGGAGAAGAGAGAAGAAAUUAUCAUUAAAAAGGAGGUUUCACCAGAAGUGGUUAGAUCAAAAUUGUCCCCGUCACCUUCUCUAAGAAAGUCUAGCAAAUCUCCGAAGCGAAAAUCAAGCCCGAAGUCGUCUUCAGCUAGCAAGAAAGAUAGGAAGACAUCUGCAGUAUCUUCUCCCCUGUUGGACCAGCAGAGGUCAGUAGGGUGAUAAAUAGUAUCGAGAAAAUAGCUUUUUCUGAAGUGAUACUAAAAAGAAUUAGUAGGUUAUAAAAGGGUACUUUUAGUACAUUUUAUAUUUAAUGUAAGCUUUUUUGUUCUAAAAAGAAAUUUGAAAUGUUUCAAUUAAAAAGACAAUUAUAGAGAACAAUAAAACAAACAUCUGUGUAACAUCCA